rnacentral:rRNA from 1 species
UCCGCAUGUUCACAUGAUUAAAGGUAUUCCGGUAGACGAUGGGGAUGCGUUCCAUUAGAUAGUAGGCGGGGUAACGGCCCACCUAGUCUUCGAUGGAUAGGGGUUCUGAGAGGAAGGUCCCCCACAUUGGAACUGAGACACGGUCCAAACUCCUACGGGAGGCAGCAGUGAGGAAUAUUGGUCAAUGGGCGAGAGCCUGAACCAGCCAAGUAGCGUGAAGGAUGACUGCCCUAUGGGUUGUAAACUUCUUUUAUAAAGGAAUAAAGUCGGGUAUGCAUACCCGUUUGCAUGUACUUUAUGAAUAAGGAUCGGCUAACUCCGUGCCAGCAGCCGCGGUAAUACGGAGGAUCCGAGCGUUAUCCGGAUUUAUUGGGUUUAAAGGGAGCGUAGAUGGAUGUUUAAGUCAGUUGUGAAAGUUUGCGGCUCAACCGUAAAAUUGCAGUUGAUACUGGAUAUCUUGAGUGCAGUUGAGGCAGGCGGAAUUCGUGGUGUAGCGGUGAAAUGCUUAGAUAUCACGAAGAACUCCGAUUGCGAAGGCAGCCUGCUAAGCUGCAACUGACAUUGAGGCUCGAAAGUGUGGGUAUCAAACAGGAUUAGAUACCCUGGUAGUCCACACGGUA